AGACAACUGGGAACUCGGAAAAAAACGAGAUCAAAUCGUCCGUGAUCAUAAGGUCGGAAAUUCGGAGCUAUAAAAAGAGGCACAAAUUCCUGACUUGGAAUUCGGAUUUGGAUGACCGUUCAAACUAACUUUCCCAGUCGGAGCUCGUUUUUUCCGAGUUCCCUGUUAUCGUGAACGCAUUGCCGGCGAUUUCCGAGCUCCAGUUGGAGCGCUUCUGUUGGGAUGACGUUUGUUGUCUCCUCUUCAAAAAGCGUGUCCACUCCUACAACCCGUCCUAGUACGCCAUACUCCGACACUGAUCAUUUAUUAGUCUAGUCAUUUGUUUUGAGUUUGAGAGGAGAAAUGAUGAUGAUGAUCAAGUCUGGGUCUGAGGCUCCCAUUCAAUCAGAGGAGAGCGAGACGCAGAAGCAUGGAUUUGGGAAAUGGUUUCCAGAAACGCACAGACCAUGUAGCACACUCAGAAAACGAUGGGGGCUACAUUUCAACAGUCUUCCAUUAAGAAGGAAGAUUGGAUCCCCAUCCAUUGCCAAACCACCAACCAACUGGACUCAGCAUCUCUCUCUUUCGCCAUCUCUCUCGGUUGAAUGUUAGCACAGACAGACUGGUACACAGUGCCCAGGCUACUCACACCCUCAAUGCACUUUAUUCUUUAAUUUAUGCACCUUUUUGUGGCAUUGUAUUGUCUGUGCUGGCUCUAUUCAUUGUAUUGACAAUUCCGUGUCAUGUCAAAUUUCCAGCGAUAAAAGUACGCUAGUUAGUCGUGUGGAAUUUAUGCUGUGGAAUGCACAAGUGGAAGCGGGAUCAACUUCAGGCUUUGAUGCCAUCAUGCAAGAAGGUUUUUAAACUGAACUGUUCUAUUGGUCGAGCAAUAUAUUUUUUUAAUAAGACUUAUUUUUAAAUGAAUUAUUUUUAAUAAUGUCCAUGUUCUUUAUUGUAAACUGCUAAAGUGCACCAUUGUAGCGCAGGCAUUUGUAUAAAUUAA
rnacentral:lncRNA from 1 species